CAGUACCCUCCAGAUUUUAAGAAAACAAAAACACAAUUGAAUUAAAUCCAUUUACAAUUUAGCUUAAUAGAAAACAAAUGAAAAAAAAUAUAUAUAUGUUGAUGAACCUUCAUAUGAAAUUCUACAGUUAAUUUCCUUGCAUUCUAAAAUUCGAGUAAAGAUUUGGCUUUUUGAUGUAAUUAGGGCAUAAGAAAUAUAUGGCUCAAGGGACAAAAUAAUCAAUAUGAAUUUUAAUAUCAUAAAUUUAAAAACAUAUAUCAUUUGAAAUUCAUACCCAUAUUCAGUUCACUAAACCCAAGACACAACAUAUAUUUAAUAGGUAUAUUGUACCAUAUAUCUCAUGUCUUAGUUUCAUAAUGGACUGUAUCUAGGAGCAAAAAAUUCAUUCAGUCAUACAAAGUAGACAUGAACCAGGGACAACCUAUCCAUCAGCCCAUAGAGAUUAAAGCACAAGAAAUCCAGCAAGUACUGAGAAACUUUUAGAUCUACUUCUUUUACUACUGUAGGUGGAAAAUCAAAUCAAUAUUUUAGGAUUAGACCAAUAAAUUUGACCCCAUAUCUGUUUUUUAAACAUAAAUCCAACAAAAGCCAAUUCAAUUCUUAUUUGAAGCAACCAGAUAUCUCUAUACAACCACAACAGCUUUCCCUAACUAUCAGAUUCCCCCUAAAUGAGGAAAUGAUAGAGAAUAAUAAAUUCUUGUAAAGCAACACCUCAAUUAUUUCACAUCAUAUCCAGCAAUCCUAUCACCAAUAAGUUUUAUCUUCGCUUGAACUGAAAUCAUUUUCAAGACUCUUGAGAUUUCGAGUUUCAGUUCUGAUUUUGAUUAGCAACAACAAUUGAAUUGAUCUUGUUGCAUAGUUUUUAUCACAUCCUUGAAAUCUAUGUUGGUUUACAAAAUCAUACUUAAAUCAUCAAUCUUUAAAGCUUAAAAUAAGUAUAUACUAAUUACCUUGCUGAAGAAAUUGAAUCCACACCCAUUUUGUAUCCUGUCAACCUCAAAUAUCGUCACAGAAAGGGUCCCAUGGAGCAAACUAGGCAUCCUU
rnacentral:misc_RNA from 1 species